rnacentral:lncRNA from 1 species
UCCGAGGAUCUUAUUUCCAAUCUUUCUUUGUUGCGACUUGCGAAGCUAACUUGCUUCAUGAGUGCCAUCUUUCUAAUUAUUCUUUUAACAUUUAUCUGUUUCUCCUUAUUAUGAGCUUCAUUGAUCUGUCCCUAACAUUUCCUCUUUAGAAACUCAUACAAAAUAGGAAACCCUUUUGGUUUGGUCCCUUCCUUGUCUAAUUUUUUUUUUUUUUCCUACUAACUAUUACACAGAAUCUACUUAAUUGGACAAUCAGCAGGAGCACAUAUCGCUGCUUGCUCCCUCUUGGAUCAGGCAAUUAAAGAAGCAGAAGGAGAAGUCAUUAAUUGGAGUGUCUCCCAGAUAAAAACAUACUUCGGGUUAUCUGGCGGGUGAAGUCUCGAAUGCUUAACUCUCUGUAACAGAGCUUUCAUUAUUUACUUGAUAAGCCUUAUUGAAAAAGUGUAGUUUGAUAGUGGGGAAUCAUCCUUCUAACCAUUUAUUAGUAUUGAUAUCUUAUUGUUUUCCAUCAAAGCUUUCUGCAUGCAAGUUAAGUAUUUAUAUAUAAGAUAUAUUUUAGUAGUUAGCAAUCGUUCUGCCGCUGGCAGCCUUUUUGAUGUGGAGUGUUGCCCCUACAUGUAGAUGAAUAGUAAUCACAAUCCUCACUGAACCAUGUAAUAUCGAAGCUCUUAGUCUCUUUUUUUCUUUUUUUUUUCUUUUGUCUCUGUCUGUCCUUAUUCUGUUUCUGUACUUAGCUUAAGUUUUGUGGUUUUUAUCCUUCAAGGAUAAAUUAUCUAUCUCAAUCAUGCAAGGUUAACUUUCAACUUGUAUUAACAGAUACAAUAUGUCAAAUUUGGUUGAUCAUUUCCAUGAACGUGGUCUUUAUAGAAGGAUAUUUCUCAGGUAUUCAUUCCAUUAUAUUUUGCUUACAUGUUCCUUCUAUUGAAAAAGUAUUUUUAGCGCCAUUUCCUUCAAUUUAUUUAAGAACAAAGAUCUAAUUUCUUGUGUCAGCAUAAUGGAAGGAGAGCAAGCACUGUGGCGUUUCUCUCCAGAAAUUGUGGUAAAGGAGGCAAGUGUAAAAGCAAUAUCUCUACUACCUCCUAUUAUACUCUUUCAUGGGACAGACGACUAUUCUAUACCACCAUCUGCCAGGUUGGUCUCGUUGGAACUAAUAUGCUCAACAUUGGAGGAACUGAAAGUUAAAUAAAACAAAACCCCCUCACUGUUGUGUUGCAUGUCGUAUAAAGAUGAUACCUUUAGCAUUGUCCCUAGUCCAUGGAAUAAAACUUAUUAAGGGGACCCUCUCUAUUAUGUGAUAAUUUUUGCAAAACGAGGAGGUAUAUAUGUACAAAACAAUGUUUUAUACAUAAAUUAAAAUUUAUCCAUAAUAAAAUAUAUUUGUUCUUUUCCUUGUCCUCCCCUAUUUAUCUCCACAGCAUCAUGUGGUUCUUCAAUUAAUUUCCAUUAUAAAGAGCAAUCAAGAACAUUAUUCUUUUCAUAGCAUAGGCUUUUCUUUUUUUUGUGUGUCCAACCUGUGAGCACAAUAUGCAUUCCUAAUGGUUCUUAAUGAGCAGACAUUUCAAACCAUUCAUUGGUAAAAGCUGCAUGAUGCUGUGUCACGGUUAUAUGUUUUUGCUUUUCUUGUUAUUAUUCGGUGAAGAUACUAUUCUUUCUCAGUGAUGCAUAGUUCAGAUUUUCUUUUUUUUCUUAAGAGAGUGGAUUUUCUUAAUCUUUAGUAUUUUGAUGUAUAUGUACCUAUCCUCUUAUUAGUCAAACUCCUUUCUAUCUCCUAACGUCUUGUACAGCAAAACUUUUGCUGAUGCUCUUCGAAGUGCUGGUGCUCAAGCUAAAUUGGUUUUGUAUGAAGGCAAAACGCAUACUGAUUUGUUUAUACAGGUAAGUGUGUUUGUUAGCCUGCUACUAAAUUGGUUCAUUUUGUGUAAUUACAUGAUUGUAAUUCACUUAGUUUCAUUCUUUCUUUCUUUCUUUCUUUCCUUCUUUCCUUUUUGGUAAUUGCCACAGAUAACUCUCGACUUAACAUUAACUUAACCAAUUUUGUUAUAACAAAAUUGUAAGGAAAUUGUAAAAGGAUAAAAUAUGUUUUUGGGUUUGGAUAGUCUAUUAAAACCUUAGCUUUUAAGGAUCGCUUGCUUCUUUCUAACGUUUUGCUUCUGUUGCAAGAAAAUUGAAAUUGUAUGUAGUGUCUAAUUUUCUGUCUUUGACUAGUUAUGGUGAGUUGUUUCUUCUAACGGAGAAUACUUAUGAACUUGCACUUGUAGGAUCCUCUUAGAGGUGGUAGAGAUGAGCUAAUUGAGAAUAUUGUUGCUGUUAUUCAUGCUGAUGAUCCAAUUGCUUGUGCCAAUGAUGCUGCAGCACCUAGACCAAGGCGCUUAGUUCCUGAGUGGCAAUUGCAGUUGGCUCGUAAAGUCAGUCCCUUUUGAGGAGGUAAUGAUUAUUUGGCGUCAUUUUUAUUUUUAUUUUUUCUUUUAGACUCUACUUUUAUUGGCAUAAAUUGAAAUAAGCAGUCAUGUUUUACUAUUUUCGAUUGUGAAAAUGGAGAAAGCAACCAGGCACUCACUUGCUGGUUUUGCACAUUUCCCUCUUUGGCUGAAUUUAGUUUAAUCAUAGAUCUUGGAACUGUCUAUCAAAAAGGGAAAGGUUUGGUGCCCGCUCCUGGGGGUGGGGGGGGUGGUUUGGGCAGUGGGGGUGGCUGGGGUGUAAAGUUUUGUGGCGAGGAAGGGAUCUACGAUAUGAGCUUUUGUUGCAUGUAUACACUGUUAGAGAUUAACUUAUAUUACAUUUAGUUAAUUACAUGAGAAAUUGCAUUUAUUGGAGGAAGCUACUGUUACUUAUAGUUUCUUUUGUUGUUGCCACAAUUUCAGCUAAAAGAUUUAGUUCCUCUUCAAAACUACAUGAACACGAUUAUGUCCUCAAAUGUGUCAAAACAAAACAGGUGGUUUAAAUCCAAAAAACAGGUAACAUGAAUAACAUAUCACAAGAACUAAUUUUGUUCUUUUUUGUGGCUGGUUGUGGUGCAGAACAUUUUCCUCCUUGCUUAUGCUCUUUUCAGUUUUACCGAUGUCUGACGCAUGUAGCAGCAAAAACUUGGAAAACUGAACAUGUAUUUGGAAAUGGACAGCUCAGGAUAUUUGAUCAAUGAACCAGCUAGUAAAAGACCAAAAGUGUUCACUGGAAGUAGAAACUGCUUGAUCGGAGGUGUUUAGAGGUGUCUAGACACUAACUUCCCUUCCCCACUAUUAUGGGCCAGCAUGUACAGAAACAGUAAGAAAUUUCGGCACAUGUUAUUUGUUGAUUGUAUAUAUUUUCUAUUGCAAUUUCUUUUUAAAUCCUCUUAAACUGGUUUAGAUAACCCGAUAUAAUAUUAUCUACUUUUCUUGUUCAUCAAUUAUAAUCUGGUUGUGCUGCAAUUUUUCUCUUGAUAAUUUUGAUUUGCUUACAUAGUUACUAUGUCGCUUGUGUUCUUUUGCUGCAGUUCUCGAAUGAGUGACAAAAAAAACUUUGUUAAUCCUUUUUCUUUUUAUAGAUAAAUAGUUGUUUGAAUGCUUUGUGAGCAUUUUUAAGCUCUUCAAGUUUUCUGAUAAAGCCCCCUCUUGAAGUAUUCUCAGUAAAAGAGUCCACAAAGAUCCGAAUACUCAUAAGCAACCAGAUUAUAUGAUCAUGAUAUGGUGAUAGGUUCUCACUCCACUGAAAAGCCAUGUUACAUCGUAUACUAAACAAACUUUUAUAUAUAUAUAUGUUUAGGGCACAAACAUCAUCACAAUACUAAAAGCAAAUGAAAAGAAAAGCGGAAAUAAAUAGGAGAUACAGCUCCUCAUAGUAAGCCAAGCUGGUGUGUGAUUCGUGCCCUCUUAUUUCUUCACGGCCUUAAUUUUUAGCUGCUGCUUUGCCACUCUUCGUCUGUCAGAGAAUCAAACUUUGAUGUUAAAUAAAUUCAGUUCAUAUGAUUCUGCAAUAACUUUGUAUCAGAAACAUUACUUUUCUAUCUUUUUCACACAUUUGUGCAAUUAAAAGUCCUCUUUACCUUCUUCUUCGGCUCCCGCGGCUUUUGCUCGGCCUUCUUCGGGGCAGGCUUCGAGGCCGAAGCCUUCGGAGGAACGGCCUGGCUGGCUUUGGCAGGGUCCUUGGCCUGCCCCAUCAAUCCGACGGGCUUCUCGGCCUUCAUUGAUGCCAUUUUCGCCAAGCUCUCUUAACACACUAAAGCAAAGGUAAAAGAAGGUGAUGCAGUGAACUUUUGAGUACUUCUCAGCUUCUAAUCUCUGGUAUUUAUAGGCAGCAGAACCUGAGGGAAUAAUUUGUAGCUAGAAUAAUUGUAGCUUGUUGGAUGGAAUAACAAACUAGCAUUAUUGGAUUCUUUUCUACGGAAUUAGAUGCAGAUGCUAUUAUUAUGUGGAAAAAAUGUUUCUAGAAGCAUAUAUUCAUGAAAUUAAAUGA